rnacentral:rRNA from 1 species
AUUGAACGCUGGCGGCAGGCUUAACACAUGCAAGUCGAGCGGAGUUGUGGUGCUUGCACCAUAACUUAGCGGCGGACGGGUGAGUAAUGCUUAGGAAUCUGCCUAUUAGUGGGGGACAACAUUUCGAAAGGAAUGCUAAUACCGCAUACGCCCUACGGGGAAAGGCAGGGGAGUCUUCGGACCUUGUGCUAAUAGAUGAGCCUAAGUCGGAUUAGCUAGUUGGUGGGGUAAAGGACCUACCAAGGCGACGAUCUGUAGCGGGUCGUGAGAGGAUGAUCCGCCACACUGGGACUGAGACACGGCCCAGACUCCUACGGGAGGCAGCAGUGGGGAAUAUUGGACAAUGGGGGCAACCCUGAUCCAGCCAUGCCGCGUGUGUGAAGAAGGCCUUUGGUUGUAAAGCACUUUAAGCGAGGAGGAGGCGUCCUAUAGUUAAUACCUAUAGAGAGUGGACGUUACUCGCAGAAUAAGCACCGGCGUAACUCUGUGCCAGCACG